UGUUAUUUGACUAGAUGCUUUUCAUACUUAUUACAUACCAUAUGCCUCCUUAUAGGGCAGAAUAUGUGAGGACAUACUGGAGGAUGAGCGUUAAAGUGGCCUCAUGUUACUACACUCAACACUUCCUGUGGAUGUUGCCAAGCUGUUACUCCGAUCGAGGCUGGGCAAUAGGGAGGUGUCUUACAUCUUUCAGCGUAGGUCCCGCCCAUGAGAGUCAGCUCAACAGCAAGCAAAGCUUUCGGGUUCAAAAGCAAAACUUUUGGAUUUGCAUUAAUACAUCUUUAAUCACACAUUUAUUUGACUUGCAAUAAAAAAUUAUUGAUUGCAGUGUGGAAAGUUUUGAUCUCAAACCUAUUCUGUUUGAUUGCAUAAUAAAGACACAAAAGUACCCUCAUAGUUGUCGUUUUAGCCAGUGAGCAUCAACCUGGGGUCUAUUCCAGUAAGCAGGUUUAGUGAAAACUCUGAGUUUGUUAACCCUGAGAUGAGGGAAACUCUGGGUUUUCAGUUCCAGACAGAGAAGUAACUUAAACUCUGGAUCACUUACCGUGGUAACUGACUGAAACGGAGGUUUACUGUCAGAAUCUAAAUCCUGGUUGGAUAUUAGUUUGUUACUCAGGACUAUCUGAAGUUACCACUCUUAUACGCUGUCAGUCAUUUCUUUGAACAGCGGUUUUUGCACUCACAUUCAAAUGUUACACAUCAUCAAGUCACUCAGGUCAGAAUAAAACCAGAAUAAAAACUUUUCCCCACUCUGA